GGUAAAGGCCUACCAUGGCGACGAUCUGUAGCUGGUCUGAGAGGAUGAUCAGCCACACCGGGACUGAGACACGGCCCGGACUCCUACGGGAGGCAGCAGUGGGGAAUAUUGGACAAUGGGGGAAACCCUGAUCCAGCCAUGCCGCGUGUGUGAAGAAGGCCUUUUGGUUGUAAAGCACUUUAAGCAGUGAAGAAGACUCUUCGGUUAAUACCCGGAGACGAUGACAUUAGCUGCAGAAUAAGCACCGGCUAACUCUGUGCCAGCAGCCGCGGUAAUACAGAGGGUGCAAGCGUUAAUCGGAAUUACUGGGCGUAAAGCGCGCGUAGGUGGUUCAGUAAGAUGGGUGUGAAAUCCCCGGGCUCAACCUGGGAACUGCAUCCAUAACUGCUGGGCUAGAGUACGGUAGAGGGUAGUGGAAUUUCCUGUGUAGCGGUGAAAUGCGUAGAUAUAGGAAGGAACACCAGUGGCGAAGGCGACUACCUGGACUGAUACUGACACUGAGGUGCGAAAGCGUGGGGAGCAAACAGGAUUAGAUACCUUGGUAGUCCACGCCGUAAACGAUGUCAACUAGCCGUUGGGAACCUUGAGUUCUUAGUGGCGCAGCUAACGCACUAAGC
rnacentral:rRNA from 1 species